rnacentral:rRNA from 1 species
UACGAAGGGGGCUAGCGUUGCUCGGAAUUACUGGGCGUAAAGGGCGCGUAGGCGGACAUUUAAGUUAGAGGUGAAAGCCCAGGGCUCAACCCUGGAAUAGCCUUUAAUACUGGAUGUCUUGAGUUCGGGAGAGGUGAGUGGAAUGCCGAGUGUAGAGGUGAAAUUCGUAGAUAUUCGGGCGGAACACCAGUGGCGAAGGCGACUCACUGGCCCGAUACUGACGCUGAGGCACGAAAGCGUGGGGAGCAAACAGG